UGGUGCCAUGAUGUAAGCAGCUUCCCUCCACCCGGGCCCUUCCUGUCCUGGAGCCUGCCAAUUAUGGAUUAAAACUAGCACUGAAUUUGUAGAAUAUUCAAGUGAUUUCAAGAGUCGAAGCCUAUACAGACUGCAUUGUCAGAAGCGCCCCUUCCCGCAUCCUCCCUGAGCACAGGAAAACUCUCCAGGCCCGGUUCACCACCUGAUGCAAAGAGCGAAGGCCACACAAGCAGGCCACGUUUCCUUCACCUGGAUUCGGUGUCAGUGCCCAAAGCGGUCAGUGUGGGCAGGUGGGACAUUCAGGUCCUUCAUUCUACCCCAUGGCCAGAAACUAAAAAAGAAGUCUUUGCUGUCUGACAAAUGAACUUCAUUAUGAGGUAGAAAAUAACGAUCGUACCGAUUUUCGAGGUAAACCAUGAGAUUUCAAGGACGUUUCCUGUGUUUACACUGCUGGGCCUCUAGGGGUCCUCAUCCUUUCUGCUCCUCCACGUGGGUGCGUGGGUGACGGUCGGAGAAGCCUGCUGGGUAUGGAGCUCCGAGAAGAAAGGGUGGAGCGGAGCGGGCUGAGGCAGCUGCAGCCUCUGGACUGGCCAGCAUUUCCUGAGAAAGCCUCAGAGGCAGAGCUGCUCCAAACUUGGGUCUGUGGGCGAAGUGGCAUGAGAGCCAGAGGACAGGGGUACGGGUAGCCCUGAGCUUUCCAUGAGGCCACGUUCACCCCACCCGGGAAGGAAGGAGUGAUUCAACAC